rnacentral:rRNA from 1 species
GCCGGAGCUUAUUCAUAGGGUACCGUCAUUAUCUUCCCCUAUAAAAGAGUUUUACAACCCGAAGGCCUUCAUCACUCACGCGGCAUUGCUGGAUCAGGGUUUCCCCCAUUGUCCAAUAUUCCCC